rnacentral:rRNA from 1 species
UAGAAGUGUUUUCCAGACACGCCUGGUAAAAAAGUCCUUUGGAACAGGGCAUCAUAGAGGGUGAGAAUCCCGUCUUUGGCCAGAGCUGUUGUCUUUUGUGAUACAUUUUCAAAGAGUCAGGUUGUUUGGGAAUGCAGCCUAAAUUGGGUGGUAAAUCUCACCUAAAGCUAAAUAUUUGCGAGAGACCGAUAGCGAACAAGUACCGUGAGGGAAAGAUGAAAAGAACUUUGAAAAGAGAGUUAAACAGUAUGUGAAAUUGUUAAAAGGGAACCGUUUGGAGCCAGACUGGCUUGACUGUAAUCAAUCUAGGCUUCGGCCUGGAUGCACUUGCGGUUUAUGCCUGCCAACGACAAUUUUUUUUGAGGGAAAAAACUAUUAGGAAUGUGGCCCCCUUUCGGGGGGGUGUUAUAGCCUUUUAGAAAAUACCUUGAAUUGGAUUGAGGAACGCAGUGAAUGCCUUUAGGCAAGAUUGCUGGGCGCUUUCGCUAAUAAAUGCUAGAAUUUCUGCUUCGGGUGGUGCUAGUGUUUAAAGGAGAAACUCGUC